AGAAUCUAUCAUGUUUAAAUGGCUCACCCUGAUGGUUAGGAAUUCAGGGAGAGAGGCUGUAAGCCACACAAAAGAGCUGAGAGGGACCCCCACACUUACAGAGGGCCCCCUUCAUGACAGAUGGGGAAACUGAGGUUCCAAGACAGCCAGCAACUUUGUCAAGGUUACAGAACUUUUUAUUACUAUUGUUAAAAGGAAUCCCUGAGACAGAUCUGGCUUCCUACACAGUCCAUUUAAUUCUCACACUUGACUGUGUCAGUAACUCUGACUCGUGGUUCAAGGUUCAAGGCUCUUAUGAGCCUGACCUCAGCUUCACAGACCUUGUUUCCGCUUCUCAUUUUGCUUCCUAUGUGCUAUGGGAACUUGGACAAGUGACAACACCUUUCUGGGCCUCAAUCUUAUCCUUCGUAAUUUGUCUCACACAUGUGCUGUCAAGAUUAAGUAAGACAGCAUGUUUUAAAAGCUGGUACUUUUUGUGCUUAAUAAAUGCUGAUUUCCCACCUUCUCUCUUCCUCCUUCUGGCUUCCCUGGUGGUUCAGACAGUAAAGAAUCUGCCUACAAUGCAGGAGACUCGAGUUCAAUCCCUAGAUCAGGAAGAUUCCCUGGAGAAGGGAGAGGCUACCCAACCCAGUAUUCUUGCCUGGAGAAUUCCAUGGUCAGAGGAACCUGGUGGGCUACAGUCCAUGGGGUCACAGAGUAGGACACUAACUGAGCAACUAACAUUUUCACUUUCCAAUCUUCUCCCUUUCUCCCGCAGCCCUCCUUCUUUCCCUUUCCCUUCACUCCUCUUUUCUUCCUUUGUUCUUCACAUAACAAAUGAUGAAUGCGAAGAAGUAGAUCACCGGGUCCUCGCUCAAAGGAAGUUCAUCUCCAAUCAGGCUUCUGUUUUCACUUCUGUAGCACGUAAAGGUGGGAAUACACAGAUGUCCUUCCCUGUCCUCAAGGAGCUUAUAGAAAACCAGAGCUACAUACAAGGGAGAGAAAACCCCACAGGAAGCACGAGAUAUUUUCAAGCACUCAAAAAAUUUUACACAUAGAAGGGGAGAGAUUACCAAGUUAGGGUACAGUGAUAAGGUAUCAGAGGGGGAAACCCAAGAGGUACUGAAGUUCUCUUUGUCUGAUUCAGAAAGAAAAAAAAAAAAAAAAAACUGGUAAAGGGAACUAGAAGUUCACCCAUCGGGGCAACUAUUUCUGGGCACCAGAGAAUCUAAGUCCUCUGGGUCCUGUGAC
ensembl:lncRNA